GGGAGAGGGGGUUAACAAUACAUCUGCCAGGGUUUUAUUGUCACCCCGCAAUCUUAACCCUCGACAGAGGUAAGGCUGACAAAUGGAUUGGCUUCGGAUACCACAAUCUGAGACCUAGAGAUUUUACCCAGUUUUUAUUUGUUAGUCUUAGCAACAAGAUAGGACCUUAACUACCCCCUGCCAUUCUUAUUAGAAAUCACAGCAGAGAUAAGGGACAAUUGCUUCUACUCAAAUCAGUCCGAGGAAGUACAGUUUCAGCCCUCAUUAAAAGUAAAUGCAGCACAGCCUCUAGAGAGAUGCUUUCUGAACAGCUCUAACUCUCAGCUAUGAAAGCCCAUCAAUAAUACCCUCUGCUGGAACCUUCUGUGGUCAAGAUAAAGUUCUUAUUAUCUUCUAACUAAUAUGCAAUUACUCUCCUCUAGGGAUUGAAGUGGAUGGAGGAAAACAUCUUGGCCAGGCCAAAUGCAAUUACAGAGCAAGUUAUCUACAGGAUGUUUGAAAGCCCUGCAUAAUACUUAGAAUACCUAAGGUGAAGAAUCAUUCAUUGACCCAUGUCUUGGCUGUGGAGAAACUGCCAGACAUGUUAGCUGAAAAAUUAUCCCAAGAGUUUGAGCAUUUCAAAGACAAGUUCCACUCCUACCUGUAUGGCCUAGGGUCUCAGCUACUUGGAGUGAGCAUGUCUCCAAUCAAGAGAGAGAAUACAGAAGUAGAGUGCAGGACACAGUUUGCUUUCACCUGGAGGGGCAUCCAGUACACCUGGAAUCAAUUGUCUCAGGGGUGGAAACACAGCUCCACUGUUUGCCAUGAACUGAUCCAGACUGCACUGGAGCAGGGCAAAGCUCCAGAACACCUGCAGUACAUUGACAACGUCAUCAUGUCGAGCAACACAGCAGAAGAAUUUCUCGAGAAAGGUGAAAGGAUAAUCCAGAUUUUUCUGCAAAACAGUUUUGCUAAAAAAUAAAGAAAGGUCAAGGAACCUGCACAAGAAAUCCUGGUUUUAGGAGUAAGAUGGCAGGAUGAACAUCGCCAAAUUCCAAUAGAUGUGGUCAACAAAAUAGCAGCUAUGUCUGACCCAACUAAUAAAAAGGAAACGAGACUUUCUUGGGGGUUGUGGGUUCUUGAAGAACACACAUUCUAAGCUAUGGUCAGAUUGUGAGCCCUCUUUACCAAGUGACCCAGAAGAAGAAUGAUUUUGAGGGGGCCCUAAGCAACAGCAAACUUUUGAACAAAUUAAGCAGGAGAUACGCUGGGUCAUGGCUUUUGAGCCAGGCCAGGCACAACAAGAUGUUUAAAAUGUGCUCUACGCAGCAGCUGGGAAGAAUGGGCCUACCUGGAGCCUGUGGCAGAAAGCACCAGGGGAGACUCGAGGUCUCACCUGGGGUUUUGGAGUCAGGGAUACAGAAGAUCUGAGGCCCACUACAUCCCAACUGAAAAGGAGAUAUUGGCAGCAUAUCAAGGGGUUUGAGCUGCUUCUGAAGUGGUUGGUCCUGAAGUGCAGCUCCCCCAGGCACCUUGACUGCUGGUGUUGGGCUGGAUGUUCAAAAGGAAGGUCUCUUCUACUCAUCAUGCAACUGAUGCCACAUAGAGUUAAUGAAGCAUGAACUUCAAAAAAACUCAAUGAAGUGCGGCAGUGAUGGAACCUGACCUGGCUCCAACAACUGGCAUCAAGCCACCUCCUUGAGGUUGAUGCUUUUGACCUGCAAACUGUGAGCACAAGCUAUGUGUUCCAGAUGCAGCAUGCAGUAAUACGACACUCCAACAUGACACUCCAUCUUUCCUGCCUGUCCUGAUAGAGUCCAAAAUGAAAAUGGACCCAAUGAACAUUUCAAAGGAAUGAGACUACGCCAUGAACUAAAGAAGAAAGUAUCUGUGUGUAUAUAUAUAUGGACAUGUAUUUAAGGUGGUAGUAAUUAGUUGAAGUGUGUGGGUAAAUGCAAGACCUGAGCAUGCAUAAAUGGUAUAGAAUAAGGGGUGGAAUGUGCUGGGUUGAUCGAGAUGGGGUUAAUUUCUACACUGCCAGGACAUCUGAGUAUUCAAUACCAUAUGAGGUCACCCUCAGUUAUAAAGGCAAAGAGCCAGCGGGUGGUGUCCAUUCUGCAGGUGCAGCCAGGAGCUGGGCGGUCUGGGUGCGGUGGCUUCCUCAUCAGCCACGCAGUUUGGAGUAACACCUUUGUAUUUCAGCCACGAGCUGCGGCUAAGGGCCGGGGGCAGUUUCUUGGCAGGAGCUAUGUCCAGGUCAAGGAGAGCCUUUGAGCGCAAGCUGCGGCAGGACCCGUGUACCACUCCGGGGCUGGGGAAGCACUGUGUGCUUCUGUAGGUUCUCUUGUUGUUGUUGUUAAUCCUUGACCAUUUUUUUUUCCCUUUCCUUCACUGUCUCCUUAAACUGUUCUUAUCACAACCCACGAGUUUUGCUUUUGUUUUCUGAUUCUCCUCCCUAUCCCACCAGGGUGGGGCAGGGGUGAGAGAGAGACACGUGGUUUUAGCUGCUGACUGGUUGGGCUGGGGCUAAACUACAGCUGAGAUUUAACAUAAGAAUAUAUUCCUAGGACUUUACCCAUUUCUUCCUAAGAGACUGCUGCAAAAAUCCACUGGUCUCUGCAGGAGAUCCUUUCCUUAUUUACACAAGCUUUGCAUCAAGAAACAUCAGCUGCUUUUUCACAAAAUUCAUUAAGACUAUCAGGCCCUCUCCUAUUUCCACUGUCAACCUGCUUCGCCCUUGGCCAACUUGGUCUGCAUGCAGAGGGAGCUCUUUGCCAGGCUGAGCUUCACCAAGGCUAAUCACAGAGGUGGAAAAGCAGAACAGCACCACAGGCUAGGGAUGUUUCUCUGCAAGACUUAGAUUAUAUCUGAAGCAGCUCACUUUCUACUGGCUACUGAGAACCCCCCAAGGACUGCCUGAGAGCUGCAGGACUCCUUUUUCACAGUCUUUGCUAAGCCAAGCCUAUUCUGGUUUUGCAGGACACAUUCUGGAUCCAGCACAUCACAUGGCAAACCUUUUUAUUUAGGAAGACUUGGCACCAUGCAGCAGCUCUACAACCACUUCAUAAUUUUCUACAGAUGGGAGCAAACAGUCUCUCACGCGAUCUCCUUCACCUACCCUAAGAGCAAGGACAAAAAAGUGUGUGGCACAUGGAUCACAGCUGUGUAGACUUGGCAGAUGUCCUCGAGUCACCACCAUCAGUUCAUUACAUUGCCUGUGAACCUGCUUUAUGCCAGCAUACAGUCCUGUAUCUGCUCCCCCAGCUCCUCCCUGCCCCAGUCCUGAAGUCUAAAGGUUUAGAAUAACUCCUUGUCCUAUGUCUCACUGUCAAAAAAAAAAAAAAAAAAGAAGUCUGGUUUCCUAUUAGCAUAAAGAAAGUCACAUUGGCACUGACAACAAACUUAGGAAGCUUCAAUUUAAUCUACAGAAAACAUCUAUAAAAAAAAAAUGGAAGUUGCUUGAAACUGCUUGUCUAGGGUUAACUGCAAAUGUCUCAACGUUCCAAAUUUUUAUAAGACAGAACAAAAUGUACAUUGAUUCCAUGCAUGAAUCAGCUGCCCUUGAAUACUACCCAGCAAUCUUUUUUUUUUUUUUUUUUUUUCAGAGAGCUAUUUGGCAAUUUAAAGCCUGAACGAUGACAAUUCUACCAGAUUCUAAGGUGAUUUUUUCAACUAGCUAAUUGACUUCACUAGAAACCAAUUAUAUUGAUUCUGAUAGUGUGCGUCCUCAGAAGCUAGGCCACUGAACUGGGGGCUUUUGUUGUGUUGUCCCUCUUCCUCAGACAGAUAACCAAACAUACUCAUGAAAUGACUUGUCAGUUUCUCUACAAACAACUUGGUAGAUCAGAUUUCUUACUCUCCUGUUCUACAGGCAUGGUCUUCAGCUCUCAGAUUAAUUGUGUAGCUCUUUUCUGGCCUUGUUCCAAUUCUUCAAUGCUCUCUGAAGCACUGACACUGGACUAAACAGUGUUCCUGCAGUGGCCUCCCCAGCACAUUUCUCCCCUGCUCCCACCACUCACCUGAGGACUGCAGCUUCCCUCUCAAGCUGCAGUAUUUGGCUUGGCAGUCAUGUUAGCUAGUUAUCUUCCAAGUUCUUUGCACCAUCAAUGUAUUCCAGAUAAGGUCUCCAACCUUGCUUGCCUCCAUGCUUUGCUCCUAGAUGUACAGCCUUACAUUUAACAGCACUAGACAAGACCAGCUUUCAGGUGACUCAGCUCUGCUCCCACAACUGACUUGUCGUUUACCUCCUCUCCAUCUGCAGAAUCUCCAUGUUUCUGCAAACAAUUAUUUGGUAUUUACAUCACUGACAAAGCCACUGGGUAAUGCAGGGCCAGGAACAGAUACCUUUUGUACUUCUUUAUAAGCAUCUUCUUAGCUUCCCUCUUCCUUAGUGAAGGAUGACUCUCCAUCUACAGCCAUUUUAUGAGAAUGAUCACUUCCCCUGAGCUGUCUACAAUAAGCCACUUUGAUUUUGUCUAGUAUGUACUCCUAUAUCACUAGAAACAAAGUCAGAAGCCUCCAAAUCUACGUAUAAUUACGUUGACACAAUUUUUAUCAGCAAAAAUCACACUCUUAUCAAGAACUGGGGGAUUGUAUUUGUCUGACAAGGCCAGUUUCCCAUUGAAGAAAACGGGCUAGCAUCAUCCUGCCUUCUCUUAGCUUUUUACUAGCUGCAGAGCCCAUCAGCCUUUUUAAGCUUUGAGCAAACUAAAGUUUGGGUAGCCUGACAAGCUACCCAACUCCUUGUCCCAGAAUAAUGCUGAUACAGUAGGAUUUUUCCACUCCCUUGGAAGUUUUUCGAGUACCUAUAUUAGUGAUUGAAAGACUUCCUUGGCUUAGUCUCUAAAUAUUCUGGACUGUAAGUUAACCAUUGUUAAUGUUUUGUACAUUUAAAAACACUGACAUGUAACAUUUUUCCUGACUUAUGGAAGUAAUUUCUUACUGGAGCCUUACUUGGCCCUUAUGACCAAGCUUUGAAUACAGAGUCCUCCUUUCCAAACACCAAGAAAUAGUUACUGGUUGUUUCUGCCUUUUCUGUUUCAUGAGAAACAAUUUUGCAACCCUGUUCAGUAUAGAGCCUGUACCACUGCUAGGAUUUCAUGAAUCCCUGCUACAUUUAAAGAAUCUUUUCUUAUUAUUCCAAACCUGCUGCCCAAAGGCUCUUCAUCAGUACCCUUCAGUUUUCUCAUCAGUUGUUUACAUUUCUUUCCAGAUUACUUGUCCAAAUCACUUCCUCUAUAUUUCCAUUAAUUGUUUUGGGGGUUUAUUGCUGGUUUCAUCUCCUCUGCUAAGCGAAACAGCUUUUUUUAACUAAAUAAUUCAUCUUCGCAAACGCAGAAUUGUGAUUUCUCAAGGACCUCAUAUAGCAUUCUUGAACAACUCCCAAUUAUCAUUCACUUUUUUUAUGCUCAAGUUCUUCCUCCCACUUUAUUUGGCCUAUAAUUAUUUUCAGUUUGGGGAAACUGGACCCUCUUAAAGCACCAAUCAUACACAUUAUUGGUUGGGACUAUAUAUUCGCUUUUAACAUAGCAAAUUAAGUUUGGACACAAUUAUUUAUACCUAAGCAAACAUUCUUUUCAGUUCAGUGAUUAAUUCAUUUUUAUUAACCUGGAUGAGGUCUGAAAUUACGUUGCUCCAAGCCAGCUGUGAUAACUUCUAGAUAGAGUGUUAUUCAUAUAUGUGUUUCAGGCAAUAGGUUUCUUCCAGUGCUGCAAAAACACACCUGAAAUUCCUAAAUGGAAGUGUAUUUCUUCUCUUCUGUCAGCCUUUCAAUGAGCUGCUCACCCAGGCAUUGUGCAAUACUGAUAGUAAGUACUUCUGUCCCCUGUGGUGGUGUUGAUUAGCUACAACCUUGAGCUUGAUGUCUUCUUUUGACUUACA